AUUGAACGCUGGCGGCAUGCCUUACACAUGCAAGUCGAGCGGUAAGGCCCUUUCGGGGGGUACACGAGCGGCGAACGGGUGAGUAACACGUGGGUGACCUGCCCUCAGCUCUGGGAUAAGCCCGGGAAACUGGGUCUAAUACUGGAUAUGGCUCCACAGUGCAUGCCGUGGGGUGGAAAGCCUUGUGCGGCUGAGGAUGGGCCCGCGGCCUAUCAGCUUGUUGGUGGGGNGAUGGCCUACCAAGGCGACGACGGGUAGCCGGCCUGAGAGGGCGACCGGCCACACUGGGACUGAGACACGGCCCAGACUCCUACGGGAGGCAGCAGUGGGGAAUCUUGCGCAAUGGGCGAAAGCCUGACGCAGCGACGCCGCGUGAGGGAUGACGGCCU
rnacentral:rRNA from 1 species